rnacentral:rRNA from 1 species
AUUGAACGCUGGCGGCAGGCCUAACACAUGCAAGUCGAGCGAGCGGCGGCCGGGUGAGAAAUGUAUGGGGGCUGCACGAUAGAGAGGGAUAACUACUGGAAACGGUGGCUAAUACAGCAUACUGUCGGAUAACCCAUAUGGGAUUAGCUAGUGGGUAAGGUAAUGGCUUACCUAGGCGACGAUCCCUAGCUGGUCUGAGAGGAUGAUCAGCAACACUGGGACUGAGACACGGCCCAGACUCCUACGGAGGCAGCAGUGGGGAAUAUUGCACAAUGGGCGCAAGCCUGAUGCAGCCAUGCGGCGUGUAUGAAGAAGGCCGUAGGGUUGUAAAGUACUUUCAGUCGGGCGGCGUUACCGACAGAAGAAGCACCGGCUAACUCCGUGCCAGCAGCCGCGGUAAUAC